UAGGGAGUAGUGUAAAUAGGAAACACGAAGAGUUUUGAUCUCUUARAUAUAGGUUCAAAUCCUAUUUUUCUAG
rnacentral:tRNA from 1 species